rnacentral:rRNA from 1 species
CCUACGGGUGGCUGCAGUGGGGAAUUUUGGACAAUGGGGGCAACCCUGAUCCAGCCAUGCCGCGUGCGGGAAGAAGGCCUUCGGGUUGUAAACCGCUUUUGUCAGGGAAGAAAUCUUCCGAGCUAAUACCUUGGGAGGAUGACGGUACCUGAAGAAUAAGCACCGGCUAACUACGUGCCAGCAGCCGCGGUUAUACGUAGGGUGAAAGCGUUGAUCGGAAUUACUGGGGGUAGUUGUGCAGCACAGGUGUGAAAUCCCCGGGCUUAACCUGGGAACUGCACUUGUGACUGUACGGCUGGAGUACGGCAGAGGGGGAUGGAAUACCGCGUGUAGCAGUGAAAUGCGUAGAUAUGCGGAGGAACACCGAUGGCGAAGGCAGUCCCCUGGGCCUGUACUGACGCUCAUGCACGAAAGCGUGGGGAGCAAACAGGAUUAGAUACCCGUGUAGUC